UACAGAGGGCCCAAGCGUUGUUCGGAUUCACUGGGCGUAAAGGGUGCGUAGGCGGUCGGGUAAGUCUGUCGUGAAAUCUCCGAGCCCAACUCGGAAACUGCGUCGGAUACUAUUCGGCUAGAGGAAUGGAGGGGAGACUGGAAUUCUCGGUGUAGCAGUGAAAUGCGUAGAUAUCGAGAGGAACACCAGUGGCGAAGGCGAGUCUCUGGACAUUUCCUGACGCUGAGGCACGAAAGCCAGGGGAGCAAACGGG
rnacentral:rRNA from 1 species